rnacentral:rRNA from 1 species
UCGAUGGGGGGACGCAGUAGGAUAGGCGAAGCGUGCGAUUGGAUUGCACGUCUAAGCAGUAAGGCUGAGUAUUAGGCAAAUCCGGUACUCAUUAAGGCUGAGCUGUGAUGGGGAGAAGACAUUGUGUCUUCGAGUCGUUGAUUUCACACUGCCGAGAAAAGCCUCUAGAUAGAAAAUAGGUGCCCGUACCGCAAACCGACACAGGUAGUCAAGAUGAGAAUUCUAAGGUGAGCGAGCGAACUCUCGUUAAGGAACUCGGCAAAAUGACCCCGUAACUUCGGGAGAAGGGGUGCUCUUUAGGGUUAACGCCCAGAAGAGCCGCAGUGAAUAGGCCCAAGCGACUGUUUAUCAAAAACACAGGUCUCUGCUAAACCGUAAGGUGAUGUAUAGGGGCUGACGCCUGCCCGGUGCUGGAAGGUUAAGAGGAGUGGUUAGCUUCUGCGAAGCUACGAAUCGAAGCCCCAGUAAACGGCGGCCGUAACUAUAACGGUCCUAAGGUAGCGAAAUUCCUUGUCGGGUAAGUUCCGACCCGCACGAAAGGCGUAACGAUUUGGGCACUGUCUCAACGAGAGACUCGGUGAAAUCAUAGUACCUGUGAAGAUGCAGGUUACCCGCGACAGGACGGAAAGACCCCGUGGAGCUUUACUGUAGCCUGAUAUUGAAAUUCGGCACAGCUUGUACAGGAUAGGUAGGAGCCUUUGAAACGUGAGCGCUAGCUUACGUGGAGGCGCUGGUGGGAUACUACCCUAGCUGUGUUGGCUUUCUAACCCGCACCACUUAUCGUGGUGGGAGACAGUGUCAGGCGGGCAGUUUGACUGGGGCGGUCGCCUCCUAAAAGGUAACGGAGGCGCUCAAAGGUUCCCUCAGAAUGGUUGGAAAUCAUUCAUAGAGUGUAAAGGCAUAAGGGAGCUUGACUGCGAGACCUACAAGUCGAGCAGGGUCGAAAGACGGACUUAGUGAUCCGGUGGUUCCGCAUGGAAGGGCCAUCGCUCAACGGAUAAAAGCUACCCCGGGGAUAACAGGCUUAUCUCCCCCAAGAGUUCACAUCGACGGGGAGGUUUGGCACCUCGAUGUCGGCUCAUCGCAUCCUGGGGCUGUAGUCGGUCCCAAGGGUUGGGCUGUUCGCCCAUUAAAGCGGUACGCGAGCUGGGUUCAGAACGUCGUGAGACAGUUCGGUCCCUAUCCGUCGUGGGCGUAGGAAAUUUGAGAGGAGCUGUCCUUAGUACGAGAGGACCGGGAUGGACAUACCUCUGGUGUACCAGUUGUCGUGCCAACGGCAUAGCUGGGUAGCUAUGUGUGGACGGGAUAAGUGCUGAAAGCAUCUAAGCAUGAAGCCCCCCUCAAGAUGAGAUUUCCCAACUUCGGUUAUAAGAUCCCUCAAAGAUGAUGAGGUUAAUAGGUUCGAGGUGGAAGCAUGGUGACAUGUGGAGCUGACGAAUACUAAUCGAUCGAAGACUUAAUCAAAA